UAGGGAAUCUUCCACAAUGGGCGAAAGCCUGAUGGAGCAAACGCCGCGUGUGUGAUGAAGGGUUUCGGCUCGUAAAACACUGUUGUAAGAGAAGAAUGACAUUGAGAGUAACUGUUCAAUGUGUGACGGUAUCUUACCAGAAAGGAACGGCUAAAUACGUGCCAC
rnacentral:rRNA from 1 species